UUGGAGGACUAAGAAAGCAGAACCAGUGAGAUCAGUUGGUUCUGCUGAGACUCUCCUCCUACAUGAAGUGGUAAAAGAACAGAGUCUGUUUAGAAGGAAUAAACUGACCCAACUUCAUUUACAAACAGCA